CGGAUGAUUACUUGUCAUCAUUGUGGUCUGUAUGGAGACCUGAGAUGUUCUCAAUGUAAACAGACAUAUUAUUGCUCUACAGACUGCCAGAAGAAAGAUUGGUCUGUACAUGGUAUUGUAUGCAAGCCAAUUAAACAAAAUUUAAAGAAAAGUGAAGAUAAUGCCAAGUUGCCUGGUGAAAUUAAGAAUAACAUUGAUUUUAAGGUACAGAAUGUUAACGUUUAUUUUAAUUGGCUCUGGUUUUUGGAGAAGCCCACUGCAGGUUGGAUAUAGUAAAGAUGUAUUUAAAUUUAAUGUGUUACUGUAACAUUUUUUAAACACUAAUGCUCAACUCACUAUAGUGAAGAGAAUAGGAAGUUAAGAAAUUUUGAUUGCUU